rnacentral:rRNA from 1 species
UACGUAGGGUGCAAGCGUUAAUCGGAAUUACUGGGCGUAAAGCGUGCGCAGGCGGUGAUGUAAGACAGGUGUGAAAUCCCCGGGCUUAACCUGGGAACUGCAUUUGUGACUGCAUCGCUGGAGUGCGGCAGAGGGGGAUGGAAUUCCGCGUGUAGCAGUGAAAUGCGUAGAUAUGCGGAGGAACACCGAUGGCGAAGGCAGCCCCCUGGGCCGACACUGACGCUGAUGCGCGAAAGCCAGGGGAGCGAACGGG